UACGAAGGGGGCUAGCGUUGCUCGGAAUCACUGGGCGUAAAGCGCACGUAGGCGGAUUGUUAAGUCAGGGGUGAAAUCCUGGAGCUCAACUCCAGAACUGCCUUUGAUACUGGCGAUCUCGAGUCCGGGAGAGGUGAGUGGAACUGCGAGUGUAGAGGUGAAAUUCGUAGAUAUUCGCAAGAACACCAGUGGCGAAGGCGGCUUACUGGUCCGGUACUGACGCUGAGGUGCGAAAGCGUGGGGAGCAAACAGG
rnacentral:rRNA from 1 species